rnacentral:rRNA from 1 species
UAAACUAGGAUUAGAUACCCUAUUAUUGUAAAUGUGAAUUUUAAGUACUAAAUUAGUAUUAGUUAUUUUCUUGAAAAUUAAAAAAUUUGGCGGUAUUUUAGUCUUUUCAGAGGAACCUGCCCUGUGAUCGAUAAUCCACGAUUAUAUAUACUUUAAUUUUAAGUUUACAUAUCGUUGUAGAUUGAAUAUUUUAAUAGAAUUUUAAUGUUCAGAAUUUUAUAUUAAAAAAUAAAUCAGAUCAAGGUGUAGUUUAUAUUUAAGAAGAGGUGGGUUACAUUAAAAUUAUUUUAGGAUAAUUUUUUUAAAAGGGAUUUGAAUUUGGAUUUGAUAGUAAUUUUAUAUAUUCAUUUUAAAUGAUUAUAGCUCUAAAAUAUGUACACAUCGCCCGUCGCUCUUAA